CCUACGGGAGGCAGCAGUGAGGAAUAUUGGUCAAUGGGCGCAAGCCUGAACCAGCCAAGUCGCGUGAGGGAAGACGGCCCUAUGGGUUGUAAACCUCUUUUGUCGGGGAGCAAGCCCGGCCACGUGUGGCCGGGCGGAGAGUACCUGGAGAAAAAGCAUCGGCUAACUCCGUGCCAGCAGCCGCGGUAAUACGGAGGAUGCGAGCGUUAUCCGGAUUUAUUGGGUUUAAAGGGUGCGCAGGCGGAAUGUGAAGCCGGCGGUAAAAUGGCGGGGCUCAACCCUGUCGAGCCGUCGAAACUGGCGUUCUUGAGUGGGCGAGAAGUAUGCGGAAUGCGUGGUGUAGCGGUGAAAUGCAUAGAUAUCACGCAGAACGCCGAUUGCGAAGGCAGCAUACCGGCGCCCAACUGACGCUGAGGCACGAAAGCGUGGGUAUCGAACAGGAUUAGAUACCCCAGUAGUC
rnacentral:rRNA from 1 species